UCCUACGGGGGAGCAGCAGUAGGGAAUCUUCCACAAUGGACGCAAGUCUGAUGGAGCAACGCCGCGUGAGUGAAGAAGGCUUUCGGGUCGUAAAACUCUGUUGUUGGAGAAGAAUGGUCGGCAGAGUAACUGUCGUCGGCGUGACGGUAUCCAACCAGAAAGCCACGGCUAACUACGUGCCAGCAGCCGCGGUAAUACGUAGGUGGCAAGCGUUAUCCGGAUUUAUUGGGCGUAAAGCGAGCGCAGGCGGUUUUUUAAGUCUGAUGUGAAAGCCCUCGGCUUAACCGAGGAAGCGCAUCGGAAACUGGGAAACUUGAGUGCAGAAGAGGACAGUGGAACUCCAUGUGUAGCGGUGAAAUGCGUAGAUAUAUGGAAGAACACCAGUGGCGAAGGCGGCUGUCUGGUCUGUAACUGACGCUGAGCUCGAAAGCAUAACAC
rnacentral:rRNA from 2 species